rnacentral:tRNA from 1 species
GGACUCAUAGCUCAGCUGGCAGAGCGCUUCUUUUACACAGAAGAGGUCAGGGGUUCAAAUCCUCUUGAGUCCA